rnacentral:rRNA from 1 species
CACGUAGGGCGCAAGCGUUGUCCGGAAUUAUUGGGCGUAAAGAGCUCGUAGGCGGUCUGUUGCGUCCGCUGUGAAAACCCGGGGCUUAACCCCUGGCUUGCAGUGGAUACGGACAGACUAGAGGUAGGUAGGGGAGAAUGGAAUUCCCGGUGUAGCGGUGAAAUGCGCAGAUAUCGGGAGGAACACCGGUGGCGAAGGCGGUUCUCUGGGCAGUAACUGACGCUGAGGAGCGAAAGCGUGGGGAGCGAACAGG